GGAAUAUUGCGCAAUGGGGGCAACCCUGACGCAGCAACGCCGCGUGGAGGAUGAAGGUCUUCGGAUUGUAAACUCCUUUUCUUGGGGAAGAGAACGGACGGUACCUGAGGAAUAAGUCACGGCUAACCACGUGCCCGCAGCAGCGGUAAUACGUAGGUGGCAAGCGUUAUCCGGAAUUACUGAGCGUAAAGCGCACGCAGGCGGCCUUUUAAGAUGGACGUGAAAGCUCCUGGCUUAACCGGGAGAGGUCGUUGAAGACUGGAAGGCUUGAGACAAUGAGAGGGGUGCGGAAUUCCCGGUGUAGUGGUGGAAUGCGUAGAUAUCGGGAGGAACACCAGUGGCGAAAGCGGCACCCUGGCAUUGGACUGACGCUCAUGUGCGAAGGCGUGGGGAGCGAAC
rnacentral:rRNA from 1 species